UACGUAGGGGGCAAGCGUUGUCCGGAUUUAUUGGGCGUAAAGAGCGUGUAGGCGGCCAGAUAGGUUCGUUGUGAAAACUCGAGGCUCAACCUCGAGACGCCGAUGGAAACCAUUUGGCUAGAGUCCGGAAGAGGAGAGUGGAAUUCCUGGUGUAGCGGUGAAAUGCGCAGAUAUCAGGAAGAACACCCGUGGCGAAGGCGGCUCUCUGGAACGCAACUGACGCUGAGACGCGAAAGCGUGGGGAGCAAACAGG
rnacentral:rRNA from 1 species